rnacentral:rRNA from 1 species
GAUGAACGCUAGCGGGAGGCUUAACACAUGCAAGUCGAGGGGCAGCAUUGUAGCUUGCUACAGAUGGCGACCGGCGCACGGGUGAGUAACGCGUAUGCAACCUGCCUUUUACAGGGGGAUAGCCCAGAGAAAUUUGGAUUAAUACCCCAUAGUAUCAAUUUACCGCAUGGUAAGUUGAUUAAAGAUUUAUCGGUAAAAGAUGGGCAUGCGUGGCAUUAGCUGGUUGGUAAGGUAACGGCUUACCAAGGCGACGAUGCCUAGGGGUUCUGAGAGGAUGACCCCCCACACUGGUACUGAGACACGGACCAGACUCCUACGGGAGGCAGCAGUGAGGAAUAUUGGUCAAUGGGCGAGAGCCUGAACCAGCCAUCCCGCGUGAAGGAAGACUGCCCUAUGGGUUGUAAACUUCUUUUCUGCACCAAGAACGUGCCCUACGUGUAGGGCAGUGACGGUAGUGCAGGAAUAAGCAUCGGCUAACUCCGUGCCAGCAGCCGCGGUAAUACGGAGGAUGCGAGCGUUAUCCGGAUUCAUUGGGUUUAAAGGGUGCGUAGGCGGCUUCUUAAGUCAGUGGUGAAAUCCUGCGGCUCAACCGUAGAACUGCCAUUGAAACUGGGGGGCUUGAAUACAGAUGAAGUAGGCGGAAUGAGUAGUGUAGCGGUGAAAUGCAUAGAUAUUACUCAGAACACCGAUUGCGUAGGCAGCUUACUAAACUGAUAUUGACGCUGAGGCACGAAAGCGUGGGGAGCGAACAGGAUUAGAUACCCUGGUAGUCCACGCAGUAAACGAUGUUCACUCGCUGUUUGCGAUAUACAGUAAGCGGCUUAGCGAAAGCAUUAAGUGAACCACCUGGGGAGUACGUCGGCAACGGUGAAACUCAAAGGAAUUGACGGGGGCCCGCACAAGCGGAGGAACAUGUGGUUUAAUUCGAUGAUACGCGAGGAACCUUACCUGGGCUUAAAUGUAGGUUGCAUGAGGUGGAAACACCCUUCCCUUCGGGGCUACCUACAAGGUGCUGCAUGGUUGUCGUCAGCUCGUGCCGUGAGGUGUCGGGUUAAGUCCCAUAACGAGCGCAACCCUUACCGUUAGUUGCCAUCAGGUCAAGCUGGGAACUCUAACGGGACUGCCACCGUAAGGUGAGAGGAAGGUGGGGAUGACGUCAAAUCAGCACGGCCCUUAUGUCCAGGGCUACACACGUGUUACAAUGGCCGGUACAGAGGGCAGCUACACCGCGAGGUGGUGCUAAUCCUAAAAGCCGGUCCCAGUUCGGAUCGUAGUCUGCAACCCGACUACGUGAAGUUGGAUUCGCUAGUAAUCGCGCAUCAGCCAUGGCGCGGUGAAUACGUUCCCGGGCAUUGUACACACCGCCCGUCAAACCAUGGAAGCUGGGGGGACAUGAAGUCUGUCACCGAAAGGAGCGGCACUAGGGUAAA